UACGUAGGGAGCAAGCGUUGUCCGGAAUCAUUGGGCGUAAAGCGCGCGUAGGCGGCCCUGUAAGUCCGUUGUGAAAGUCAAAGGCUCAACCUUUGAAAGCCGAUGGAUACUGCAGGGCUAGAGUCCGGAAGAGGCGAGUGGAAUUCCUGGUGUAGCGGUGGAAUGCGCAGAUAUCAGGAGGAACACCAAUAGCGAAGGCAGCUCGCUGGGACGGUACUGACGCUAAGGCGCGAAGGCGUGGGGAGCGAACAGG
rnacentral:rRNA from 1 species